AGGUAUCUUCCUGUGCCCUACCCUCCCUCGUUCCUAUGGACAAAUUGUCCUUUGUCCCCAAAUCAGAAUAUAAGUGUCUUCAAGCCAAAAAUAGCUGCAGCCUGGUGGGGGAAGGGGAUACUAGAGACACCAAACAGAGGUGUCGAAGGGAGCCCAACACAGGCACCUUGGAGGGACCACGGACUCUGCCAUCAAAUGCAGAGUCCCAGGCACCCUGAUUUAAGGAGUCUCCAGGGAACUGUGCCCAGACCGGGGUGUGACAUGUGGCUCCAAACUCAGGCCCUGAGUGACCUCGGGAAGUCCCUGACCCUCUCUGAGCUCUGUUCCACUGAUGACACCGCUGGCUGUGUCAGGCACUCAGAAGG
rnacentral:lncRNA from 1 species